rnacentral:rRNA from 1 species
GUGGGGAAUUUUGGACAAUGGGCGAAAGCCUGAUCCAGCCAUGCCGCGUGCAGGAUGAAGGCCUUCGGGUUGUAAACUGCUUUUGUACGGAACGAAAAGACUCCUUCUAAUAAAGGCGGUCCAUGACGGUACCGUAAGAAUAAGCACCGGCUAACUACGUGCCAGCAGCCGCGGUAAUACGUAGGGUGCAAGCGUUAAUCGGAAUUACUGGGCGUAAAGCGUGCGCAGGCGGUUAUAUAAGACAGAUGUGAAAUCCCCGGGCUCAACCUGGGAACUGCAUUUGUGACUGUAUAGCUAGAGUACGGUAGAGGGGGAUGGAAUUCCGCGUGUAGCAGUGAAAUGCGUAGAUAUGCGGAGGAACACCGAUGGCGAAGGCAAUCCCCUGGACCUGUACUGACGCUCAUGCACGAAAGCGUGGGGAGCAAACAGGAUUAGAUACCCUGGUAGUCC